GAUGAACGCUGGCGGCGUGCCUAAUACAUGCAAGUCGAGCGAACGGACGAGAAGCUUGCUUCUCGGAUGUUAGCGGCGGACGUGUGAGGAACACGUGGAUAACCUACCUAUAAGACUGGGAUAACUUCGUGAAACCGGAGCUAAUACCGAAUAAUAUUUUGAACCGCAGGGUUCAAAAGUGAAAGACGGUCUUGCUGUCACUGAGAGAUGUAUCCGCGCUGCAUUAGCUAGUUGGUAAGGUAGCGGCUUACCAAGGCAACGAUGCAUAGCCGACCUGAGAGGGUGAACCGCCACUCUGGAGCUGAGACGCGGUACAGACUCCUACGGGCGGCCGCAGUAGCGAAGCGUGCGCGAUGGGCGAAAGCCUGAAGGAGCAGCGCAGCGUGAGUGCUGAAGGUCUUCGGAUCGUAUAACUCUGUUCUUAGGGAAGACCAUAUGUGUCAGUAACUGUGCACAUCUUGACGGUACCUAAUGAGAAAGCCCCGGCUAACUACGUG
rnacentral:rRNA from 1 species